UACGUAGGGUGCAAGCAUUAAUCGGAAUUAUUGGGCGUAAAGGGCGCGAGUAGGCGGAGAUGUAAGUCAGAUGUGAAAUCCCGGGGCUCAACCCCGGAACUGCAUUUGAAACUGCAUUUCUAGAGGAUAGGCGGAGAAAACGGAAUUCCACAAGUAGCGGUGAAAUGCGUAGAUAUGUGGAAGAACACCUGUGGCGAAAGCGGUUUUCUAGCUUAUUCCUGACGCUGAGGCGCGAAAGCAAGGGGAUCAAACAGG
rnacentral:rRNA from 1 species